rnacentral:lncRNA from 1 species
UUAAUUUCACAAUUUAGCCCUAUUUACUCAAUUUCACUAAAAAUUCCAAUACAAAAUAUAUUAAUCUAACAAAUAUAUUUCAUAUUUCACCUACUAACAUCAUAAAACUCAAGCAUUCAUCAAUGGCACAUUUCAAAAUCAUCCACAAUUCACAAAAUUAAGAUAUGGGUUUUGAAGAACACGAAGCAACGAUCUCAAAAACGUAAAAAUUAUCAAAAACUGAAGUAAAACAUACCUUGAAUUAAGCUUGUUAAUGACCGAAUACCUCAAAGCUUU